rnacentral:miRNA from 1 species
GGCAUGUGUGGGGCAUAAUAG